CAAGGCUUGAAGUGUAAACUGGAGAAAAGGAGGGAUCAGUAAAGAGGGGAUGGUCACUGAAUGGUGUCUGUUGGGGUGGCUAUUGUGUGUGAAGACUAGUCCUGCUGUUGCUGACAACGACGACCUUGACAUUAGCUUCAGUAGUACAGAGCCUGUAGACCGAUUGGAUGAAAGCUUUCAGCCGGGAAUAAGCUCAAACUCAACAUCAUCUGACUUUGAAACAAGCCAGGACAGCCAAAUGGAUUUAUGAAAGCACACUACCCUCUUGAGAAAACAAAAUCAUGAAUAAACUACUGUGUGCAAGACAAAAAUAUAUAAAUGAGACUUGCAGUACUGUACAUACAUACAAAUCUUCUGCAAGAGGUCUAAGUAGUGGGUGAAGAGCAUUGCCACAGCGCCAAAGACUGCUAAACCAGGUGCCAUUACCCAACACAAGAAGAGGUUCACCAGCUGAAGAACAUUCUGGAACCUGCCUGGAACAUUCAACCAAUACUAGACUGAUGUUGUAGUAUAGUAUAGAGUGCCUAGUAUGCUCAUAACUGCAUUGUGGUAUAGAUAUCGCUAGCUGUUGUACAUACAGGGGUAUGUAUAUAAUGCUGUUUUAUAU